AAAAGUUAUGUAAGGGCGUAUGGGGGAUGCCUAGGCUCUCAGAGGCGAAGAAGGACGUGAUAAGCUGCGAAAAGUUGCGUGUAUUGGCACAUACGAUAUGAUACGCAAAUCUCCGAAUGGGGCAACCCAGUACAUUGAAGAUGUACUACACCGUAAAGGUGGGCAAACCUGCUGAACUGAAACAUCUUAGUAGGCAGAGGAGAAGAAAACAAAAGUGAUUCCCAAAGUAGUGGCGAGCGAAAUGGGAAUAGCCCAAACCCAUAUUGUUACGGCAAUAUGGGGGUAGUAGGACCCAGAUAUAGGUUGUAAAGCUGGAUUAGAAGUGUUUGGAAAGACACACCAUAGAGAGUGAAAGUCUCGUAUAGGUACAGUUUUAUAAAUCUUAUGGGAAUCCUGAGUAGGUCGGGGCACGAGGAACCUUGACUGAAUCAGCCGGGACCAUCCGGUAAGGCUAAAUACUCCUGAGAGACCGAUAGUGAACUAGUACCGUGAGGGAAAGGUGAAAAGAACCGUGAAUAACGGAGUGAAACAGACCCUGAAACCAUACGCUUACAAGCGGUUGGAGCAGCUUUAGGCUGUGACAGCGUGCCUUUUGCAUAAUGAGCCUACGAGUUACUGUUACCAGCGAGGAUAAGUAUUUCAGAUACGAAUCCGCAGCGAAAGCGAGUCUGAAUAGGGCGCAAAUAGUUGGUAGUAGUAGACGCGAAACCUGGUGAUCUACCCUUGGGCAGGUUGAAGCGCUGGUAACACAGCGUGGAGGACCGAACUGGUUGUCGUUGAAAAGACUUCGGAUGACCUGAGGGUAGGGGUGAAAGGCCAAUCAAACUGGGAAAUAGCUCGUACUCCCCGAAAUGCAUUUAGGUGCAGCGUUGAUGCGAGUUUAAUAGAGGUAGAGCUACUGAUUGGAUGCGGGGGUUUCAUCGCCUACCAAUUCCUGACAAACUCCGAAUGCUAUUAAAUGCUCAUCAGCAGUGAGGGUAUGGGUGCUAAGGUCCAUAUCCUAAAGGGAAAGAACCCGGACCAUCAGCUAAGGUCCCCAAAUAUAUGCUAAGUUGACCAAACGCGGUCUGACUGCACUGACAGCUAGGAUGUUGGCUUGGAAGCAGCCAUACAUUUAAAGAGUGCGUAACAGCUCACUAGUCGAGCGGUUGGGCAUGGAUAAUAAACGGGCAUAAGCAUAUUACCGAAGCUAUGGGGUAGUACAGAAGUACCUACCGGUAGGGGAGCAUUCUAUAGGCGUAGAAGCUAAAGUUGUGAGACAUAGUGGAGCUGAUAGAAAAGAAAAUGUAGGCAUAAGUAACGAUAAGGCAGGCGAGAAACCUGCCCGCCGAAAGAUCAAGGUUUCCUCACUAUGCUAAUCAGCUGAGGGUUAGUCGGGGACUAACGCGCACCCGAGCAGGGAAGUGGAUGUACAACAGGUUAAUAUUCCUGUACCAUUAAUCUGAUAAAAGUGACGGAACGAGAUAACUACCGCGUACUGACGGAAUAGUACGUUAAAGGAGCAGUUAUAGCUUUGAUAGUACACUGAGGCUUCGGUCGAGGUGAUAGAGUGGUGACAACGUUUCCAAGAAAAGCGAAGAUUAAUGCCCGUACCGUAAACCGACACAGGUGAUUGGGAAGAGAAUUCUAAGGCGCUCGAGAGAUUCAUGGCUAAGGAACUAGGCAAAAUAGACCUGUAACUUCGGGAGAAAGGUCGCCUAUCUAGCGAUAGGCCGCAGUGAAGAGGUCCAAGCGACUGUUUAUCAAAAACACAGGACUCUGCAAAUCGAAAGAUGAGGUAUAGGGUCUGACACCUGCCCGGUGCUGGAAGGUUAAGAGGAGAGCUUAGUGGCAACACGAAGGUUUAAAUUGAAGCCCCAGUAAACGGCGGCCGUAACUAUAACGGUCCUAAGGUAGCGAAAUUCCUUGUCGGGUAAGUUCGACCUGCACGAAUGGUGUAACGAUUUGGACACUGUCUCGGCCAUGAGCUCGGUGAAAUUGUAGUAUCGGUGAAGAUGCCGAUUACCCGCAGUGGGACGAAAAGACCCUGUGCACCUUUACUAUAUCUUCGUAUUGGUCUUGGAUAAGUGAUGCGUAGGAUAGGUGGGAGACUUAGAAGCAGCUAUUCUGGUAGUUGUGGAGUCGUUGUUGAAAUACCACC
rnacentral:rRNA from 1 species